AAGAACAUGAAGACUGCCUGCAAACCCACGUGUGCCCAGCUAAGUGCUAAUUCUCAAUAUGAUCAGGAUAUCCAUUGCAUGGCCCCAGGCUUCUGCAGGCAGCCAGCACUGCUGCAAUUAUUGAUCUCCCCUGGAGAGCCAAGGAAUGAAAUCACAGGAAAAUGGAGCUGUGUCUUGGGAUGGUUACUUCUAAGGUUGAGAAGCUCUGAAAGAAAUCCCAGUAUGUGGAUGGAAUUCUGCUCUAUAAAUGAAGUGGCUGCAUAGAACUAGACAAUCAGGAACUCACAGGGACAAAAGGAGUUACUGUAAAGAGGGCAGUAGAUUCUUCGUAACCUGUCUUCUACAAUUAUGUUCCAAGGUGGUUUAGCUAACUUUAUUCAAAUGGGUGAAGAAUGCAAUAUCAAAAUCUGAGGUAGUAAAUCGGCUUGUACAUGGACUGUGUGGGAAGAGAAGUUACUCCUGACAUUAAGUGGGAGAGGAUAAUUAUACAUAGCUUGGAACUUUGGCAUGAUGUAUCUUGAGGAUAAAUGUGCAAGUGGAGUCCUUGUCUACCAGUGCUGAGCAAGCAGCCUCUACCUGUGCAUCUUUUGGUUCAUUACGUACAGGAUGGCCUGUAUCUAACUUUUUUAAUGAUGUCUAGAUCUUGUAAUAUUCUUUUUUGCACAGGUUUUUUAUGGAUACUUUUGGUUGUGCAGUUAUUUCUACUUCCUCCUCCAAUCAGAGCACAUCUUCUUGUUUGUGCAUAGCCAACCAGGUUUAUAAGACUAGCGUUCUCAAGCAAGUAAUUAAUCAUUUCUCAUUACAGAAUUCAUACAUACUCAGCUUUUCACACAUGGGAAUAGCAAAUUAGAUCUUCCCUCAAUAAAAUGAAAAAUUCACACUCUUCAUAUGAAAUCACUGUCAGUGUAUAAUUAUGUUUAAAUAUAAAUUACAUGGAAUAAUUUUAUAUAUAGAAGAAAACUCAAACCAAAUCAAACAGAUCAGUGAAUCCUUUACUUUUUUUCAAGCACAAGUCCUUUAUAUUUCUGGAGGAAGCCAUACUGCCAACCUGUUGCUGCACAUCAAGCUCCUCAGGACAUAAGACCCUGAAAGAGAUCAUUUCCAUCACUUUUCUGCUACCUGUGUAAUACAAAUGAAAUGGGUGCCCUGGGGCAGCUAAUGUGUUGUGGGGGGAGAUACAACUACAUGCGUAAGGACAGAGGUAAA